GUGUGGUGAGAAUUUUUGUUUCACUCGGUGGCAAAAUUUGUUUAAUCCUCGUGCCUUGAAACCCUCGCAACGCUCAAAAUUCUAUUUUUCGAACCACUCGCUACGCUCGUGGGUCCAUUUUGCAAUCUUUCGCUUGCUCGGGUAUCAAUAUUAGCACGAGCGGUUAAACAACAACUUUUACGCUGUGUAAAACAAAUAACUAUUGUCAUAUUACCGUAGA